CCCUUCGAUGUUCUGGGCCGCACGCGCGCUACACUGAUGCGUUCAGCAAGCCUUUAACCUUCACCGAUAGGUGCGGGUAAUCUUCUGAAAGCGCAUCGUGUUUGGGCUAGAUGAUUGCAAUUAUUAAUCUUCAACGAGGAAUGCCUAGUAAGCGCAAGUCAUCAGCUUGCGUUGAUUACGUCCCUGCCCUUUGUACACACCGCCCGUCGCUCCUACCGAUUGAAUGGUCCGGUGAAGCGUUCGGACCGUGGCCUUUGGACGGUUCGCCGUCUGUUGGCUGCGGGAAGUUCGUUAAACCUUAUCAUUUAGAGGAAGGAGAAGUCGUAACA
rnacentral:rRNA from 1 species